rnacentral:rRNA from 1 species
GGGCCCGCACAAGCGGUGGAGCAUGUGGUUUAAUUCGAUGAUACGCGAGGAACCUUACCAGGACUUAAAUGUAAGUUGCAUGAUUCAGAAAUGAAUCUUUCUUCGGACUACUUACAAGGUGCUGCAUGGUUGUCGUCAGCUCGUGCCGUGAGGUGUCAGGUUAAGUCCUAUAACGAGCGCAACCCCUAUCGUUAGUUGCCAUCAAGUAAAGUUGGGAACUCUAGCGAAACUGCCGGUGCAAACCGAGAGGAAGGUGGGGAUGACGUCAAAUCAUCACGGCCCUUACGUUCUGGGCUACACACGUGCUACAAUGGUCGGUACAGAAAGCAGCCACUAUGCGAAUAGGAGCUAAUCUUUAAAACCGAUCUCAGUUCGGAUAGGAGUCUGCAACUCGACUCCUUGAAGUUGGAGUCGCUAGUAAUCGCAAAU